UAUCAGAAGUGCGAAUGCUGACAUAAGUAACGAUAAAGCGGGUGAAAAGCCCGCUCGCCGGAAGACCAAGGGUUCCUGUCCAACGUUAAUCGGGGCAGGGUGAGUCGACCCCUAAGGCGAGGCCGAAAGGCGUAGUCGAUGGGAAACAGGUUAAUAUUCCUGUACUUGGUGUUACUGCGAAGGGGGGACGGAGAAGGCUAUGUUGGCCGGGCGACGGUUGUCCCGGUUUAAGCGUGUAGGCUGGU
rnacentral:rRNA from 1 species